UCGAGCGGUAGAGAGAAGCUUGCUUCUCUUGAGAGCGGCGGACGGGUGAGUAAUGCCUAGGAAUCUGCCUAGUGGUGGGGGAUAACGUUCGGAAACGGACGCUAAUACCGCAUACGUCCUACGGGAGAAAGCGGGGGAUCUUCGGACCUCGCGCCAUUAGAUGAGCCUAGGUCGGAUUAGCUAGUUGGUGAGGUAAUGGCUCACCAAGGCGACGAUCCGUAACUGGUCUGAGAGGAUGAUCAGUCACACUGGAACUGAGACACGGUCCAGACUCCUACGGGAGGCAGCAGUGGGGAAUAUUGGACAAUGGGCGAAAGCCUGAUCCAGCCAUGCCGCGUGUGUGAAGAAGGUCUUCGGAUUGUAAAGCACUUUAAGUUGGGAGGAAGGGCAAUAACCUAAUACGUUAUUGUUUUGACGUUACCGACAGAAUAAGCACCGGCUAACUUCGUGCCAGCAGCCGCGGUAAUACGAAGGGUGCAAGCGUUAAUCGGAAUUACUGGGCGUAAAGCGCGCGUAGGUGGUUCAGUAAGUUGGAAGUGAAAUCCCCGGGCUCAACCUGGGAACUGCUUUCAAAACUGCUGAGCUAGAGUACGGUAGAGGGUGGUGGAAUUUCCUGUG
rnacentral:rRNA from 1 species